rfam:Triticum aestivum genome assembly, contig: Triticum_aestivum_CS42_TGACv1_scaffold_213621_3AS
CUUGUACUCCCUCCGUCCGAAAAUACUUGCCAUUGAAAUGGAUGUAUCUAGAUGUAUUUUAGUUCUAGACACAUCCAUUUUGAUGACAAGUAAUUCCGGACGGAGGGAGUACUUG